rnacentral:rRNA from 1 species
CAGUCGCCACGGUAAUACGUAGGGUGCAAGCGUUAAUCGGAAUUACUGGGCGUAAAGCGUGCGCAGGCGGUUUGUUAGGACAGAUGUGAAAUCCCCGGGCUCAACCUGGGAACUGCAUUUGUGACUGGCAAGCUAGAGUGUGGCAGAGGGGGGUGGAAUUCCGCGUGUAGCAGUGAAAUGCGUAGAUAUGCGGAGGAACACCGAUGGCGGAGGCAGCCCCCUGGGCCAACACUGACGCUCAUGCACGAAAGCGUGGGGAGCAAACAGGAUUAGAUACCCCCGUAGUCCCUGUCUCUUAUAC